rnacentral:rRNA from 2 species
ACCCUUUAAUGUUUGAUGUUCUAACGUGGACCCGUGAUCCGGGUUGCGGACAGUGUCUGGUGGGUAGUUUGACUGGGGCGGUCUCCUCCUAAAGAGUAACGGAGGAGCACGAAGGUUGGCUAAUCCUGGUCGGACAUCAGGAGGUUAGUGCAAUGGCAUAAGCCAGCUUGACUGCGAGCGUGACGGCGCGAGCAGGUGCGAAAGCAGGUCAUAGUGAUCCGGUGGUUCUGAAUGGAAGGGCCAUCGCUCAACGGAUAAAAGGUACUCCGGGGAUAACAGGCUGAUACCGCCCAAGAGUUCAUAUCGACGGCGGUGUUUGGCACCUCGAUGUCGGCUCAUCACAUCCUGGGGCUGAAGUAGGUCCCAAGGGUAUGGCUGUUCGCCAUUUAAAGUGGUACGCGAGCUGGGUUUAGAACGUCGUGAGACAGUUCGGUCCCUAUCUGCCGUGGGCGCUGGAGAACUGAGGGGGGCUGCUCCUAGUACGAGAGGACCGGAGUGGACGCAUCACUGGUGUUCGGGUUGUCAUGCCAAUGGCACUGCCCGGUAGCUAAAUGCGGAAGAGAUAAGUGCUGAAAGCAUCUAAGCACGAAACUUGCCCCGAGAUGAGUUCUCCCUGAGACUUAAAGUCUCCUGAAGGAACGU